rnacentral:tRNA from 1 species
GAGGGCAUAGCUCAGUGGUAGAGUGCUUGUUUAGCAUGCAUGCGGUCAUGGGUUCAAUCCCCAGUAACUCCCA